CUAUGGCUGCUAGGAAUUUGGAGAAGAUGACAUCAAUUGAUGCACAGCUCAGGCUAUUGGCACCUCGGAAGGUUUCCGAGGAUGACAAGUUAGUUGAGUAUGAUGCUCUGUUAUUGGACCGAUUUCUUGAUAUAUUGCAGGAUUUGCAUGGAGCAGAUAUCAGAGAAACGGUUCAAGAUUGUUAUGAACUUUCCGCUGAGUAUGAAGGGAAGCGUGACCCUCAAAAGUUGGAGGAACUUGGGAAAGUG
rnacentral:misc_RNA from 1 species